CACCCCCAUACCCAUCUCCCCUCUCUCUCUCUCUCUCUCUCUCUCUCUCUCUCUCUCUAGCUUCUCUCGCACCAUCUUCAUCAUCUUCAGCACUGUCUCGUGCCCAUCUUGCUCUCUUCUGUCUCCGAGGGUUUCGUGUAUUUCCAGGGUUUGGAGGAGGAGGAAGAGAUCGGAAAAGGAAGCCUUCUUGUUUUGAGGGGAAUGUUGUCUGGCUCGAGGCCACCAUCUCAGAUCACCCAUCUUCCAUCUCUGAUAAAUCAAUUAAGACCCAUCUUUUUUUUUUUUCUGCUGUUGUUGUUGUGGGUUGGUAUCAUCGCAUACCCAUUUGAGAUGAUCGAUCAGAUCACGAGCUUGGCGACCUCGGACCAGGCUUCAUUCCCCCCAAUUAUCGCUUCCCCUCGUGCCCAUCUUCUUUGCUGUGUUACGAAUCGAUCUCGAGGUCUGAAGGACAAGAUAACCUGUAAGUUGCACUAAUAAUAUACCUGGUGUUAAUACAAAAGGAAGAUAGAGAUCUUAAGGUUGCUUCCAUUACAUAAUGCCUAAAUGGCUGCUUGCAGGCAGUUGGUUGUGUCGUGUAAGAACAUCAUGAUCGUUCCCGACCUUGUGUUUGAUGAGCGGUGCUUGUGAAAUUAGCUUUGAGAAGCUUGGCCUUCACACUUUCUCUCCAAUACUUUGUUGAGGAAAAAGUCAGUGGAAGGAAUAUAAUCAUUCAGAGGAGAGGAGAGAAGAUGCUGAGUGCAUAUGGAAGCUGUGCUGGUGAAGCAACCCAACUGUGUGCGAGAACCAAAAAUGCGCUCAUUAGAGUUUUUCGCGAGAAUCAGGCGACGAUGCCAUUAAAGCUUGUGCGAGAAGCAGAACCGAACCGAACCCACUUAGUACUUGGCAAGUGUUGUUUGUUGCCUCUAGUUUUGUAUCUUGAAAUGUCACAAAGCUUAUCAUGCGAGGUUAAUGAAAGAAGUCAUUACUAAAUACCAAAGUUUUUGUAUCUUUGAUACUUUGGGAGUAAUGGGUCGUUGCUUCUACACAGUAUAACAAAAAAAAAGGCAGAGAUAGAGAGAGAGAGAGAGAGAGAUGUGAUAGAUGGGACCUCUGAUUUUGCUAGACCUUAUGGUCUUGUCAUGUACAAGAGGGAAGAGUGCAGUAUUCCCUGUGAAACUUGAGGAGGAAAAAAAGAAAGUUUU